rnacentral:rRNA from 1 species
CCUACGGGAGGCAGCAGUGGGGAAUAUUGGACAAUGGGGGGAACCCUGAUGCAGCGACGCCGCGUGAGUGAAGACGUAUUUCGGUAUGUAAAGCUCUAUCAGCAGGGAAGAAAGAAAUGACGGUACCUGACUAAGAAGCCCCGGCUAACUACGUGCCAGCAGCCGAGGUAAGACGUAGGGGGCAAGCGUUAUCCGGAUUUACUGGGGGUAAAGGGAGCGUAGACGGCGAUGCAAGUCUGAAGUGAAAGGCGGGGGCCCAACAUGCGGACUGCUGUGGAAACUGGAAGGCUGGAGUGCAGGAGAGGUGAGUGGAAUUCCUAGUGUAGCGGUGAAAUGCGUAGAUAUUAGGAGGAACACCAGUGGCGAAGGCGGCUUACUGGACUGUAACUGACGCUGAGGCUCGAAAGCGUGGGGAGCAAACAGGAUUAGAUACCCGGGUAGUC